GCAGCUGUACAGGUAAUGUUGAUCUGAUGGACAGAGUGAGCUUAUGUCUACACAAACAUUUGAUCACUAUAAACAAAUCAUCUGUGUGGUUGUUCAGUAAAGAAUUGUCGAACCCUCAUAUGUUGUCUAAUAAUGGGAGAGUCCAAUAUAUAUGUGUAUACACACACGCACACGUGCACACACACACA